rnacentral:rRNA from 1 species
GAUGAACGCUGGCGGCGUGCCUAAUACAUGCAAGUCGAGCGAACAGACGAGGAGCUUGCUCCUCUGACGUUAGCGGCGGACGGGUGAGUAACACGUGGAUAACCUACCUAUAAGACUGGGAUAACUUCGGGAAACCGGAGCUAAUACCGGAUAAUAUAUUGAACCGCAUGGUUCAAUAGUGAAAGACGGUUUUGCUGUCACUUAUAGAUGGAUCCGCGCCGCAUUAGCUAGUUGGUAAGGUAACGGCUUACCAAGGCAACGAUGCGUAGCCGACCUGAGAGUGUGCUCGGCCACACUGGAACUGAGACACGGUCCAGACUCCUACGGGAGGCAGCAGUAGGGAAUCUUCCGCAAUGGGCGAAAGCCUGACGGAGCAACGCCGCGUGAGUGAUGAAGGUCUUCGGAUCGUAAAACUCUGUUAUUAGGGAAGAACAAAUGUGUAAGUAACUAUGCACGUCUUGACGGUACCUAAUCAGAAGGCCACGGCUAACUACGU